AUUGAACGCUAGCGGCAUGCCUAGCACAUGCAAGUCGAACGGCAGCACGAGGAGCUUGCUCCUUGGUGGCGAGUGGCGGACGGGUGAGUAACGCGUAGGAAUCUGCCUCGUAGUGGGGGACAACCCGGGGAAACUCGGGCUAAUACCGCAUAAUCUCUUCGGAGCAAAGUUGGGGACCUUCGGGCCUAACACUAUGAGAUGAGCCUGCGUUGGAUUAGCUAGUUGGUGGGGUAAAGGCCUACCAAGGCGUCGAUCCAUAGCUGGUCUGAGAGGACGACCAGCCACACUGGGACUGAGACAAGGCCCAGACUCCUACGGGAGGCAGCAGUGGGGAAUAUUGGACAAUGGGCGAAAGCCUGAUCCAGCAAUGCCGCGUGUGUGAAGAAGGCCUUCGGGUUGUAAAGCACUUUUAGUGGGGAAGAAAAAGACAAGGAUAAUACCCUUGGAAAUUGACGUUACCCACAGAAAAAGCACUGGCUAACUCUGUGCCAGCCGCCGCGGUAA
rnacentral:rRNA from 1 species